rnacentral:tRNA from 1 species
GCCGGAAUAGCUCAGUUGGUAGAGCGGCUCUUUUGUAAAGAGCGGGUCGUGGGUUCGAGUCCCUCUUCCGGCU